rnacentral:rRNA from 1 species
UACGUACUGUGCGAACGUUAUUCGGAAUCACUGGGCUUAAAGGGUGUGUAGGCGGCCCGGCAAGUAGGGUGUGAAAGGCUCCGGCUCAACCGGGGCAUUGCGCUCUAAACUGCUGGGCUCGAGCAAGGCAGGGGUGUGCGGAACUUCCAGUGGAGCGGUGAAAUGUGUUGAUAUUGGAAGGAACGCCGGUGGCGAAAGCGGCACACUGGGUCUUGUCUGACGCUGAGACACGAAAGCCAGGGGAGCGAACGGG